rnacentral:rRNA from 1 species
GCCAGAGCCAUAUCUCCCUUGCUUGGUUUCCCACUGCUGCUAAGCAGGGUUGAGCCUGGCUAGAACCUGGAUGGGAGACCUACUGGGGAAAACUAAGGUCGCUGCUGGAA